AUUGAACGCUGGCGGCGUGCUUAACACAUGCAAGUCGAUCGGUAACGCGGGGGCAACCCUGGCGACGAGAGGCGGACGGGUGAGGAACGCUUGGGAAUCUGCCUAUCAGCGGGGGACAACACGGGGAAACUCGUGCUAAUACCGCAUACGCUCUACGGAGGAAAGCCGGGGACCGCAAGGCCUGGCACUGAUAGAUGAGCCCAAGCCGGAUUAGCUAGUUGGCGGGGUAACGGCCCACCACGGCGACGAUCCGUAGCUGGUCUGAGAGGACGAUCAGGCACACUGGAACUGAGACACGGUCCAGACUCCUACGGGAGGCAGCAGUGGGGAAUAUUGGACAAUGGGGGAAACCCUGAUCCAGCGACGCCGCGUGGGAGAAGAAGGCCUGCGGGUUGUAAAGCCCUUUCGGUAGGGACGAAAGCUCUCGACCUAACACGUCGGGAGGUUGACUUAACCUACAAAAGAAGCACCGGCUAACUCUGUGCCAGCAGCCGCCGUAACAC
rnacentral:rRNA from 1 species